UGGGGAAUUUUGGACAAUGGGCGAAAGCCUGAUCCAGCAAUGCCGCGUGUGUGAAGAAGGCCUUCGGGUUGUAAAGCACUUUUGUCCGGAAAGAAAUGGCUCUGGUUAAUACCUGGGGUCGAUGACGGUACCGGAAGAAUAAGGACCGGCUAACUACGUGCCAGCAGCCGCGGUAAUACGUAGGGUCCAAGCGUUAAUCGGAAUUACUGGGCGUAAAGCGUGCGCAGGCGGUUGUGCAAGACCGAUGUGAAAUCCCCGAGCUUAACUUGGGAAUUGCAUUGGUGACUGCACGGCUAGAGUGUGUCAGAGGGGGGUAGAAUUCCACGUGUAGCAGUGAAAUGCGUAGAGAUGUGGAGGAAUACCGAUGGCGAAGGCAGCCCCCUGGGAUAACACUGACGCUCAUGCACGAAAGCGUGGGGAGCAAACAGGAUUAGAUACCCUGGUAGUCCACGCCCUAAACGAUGUCAACUAGUUGUUGGGGAUUCAUUUCCCUAGUAACGUAGCUAACGCGUGAAGUUGACCGCCUGGGGAGUACGGUCGCAAGAUUAAAACUCAAAAUGAAUUGACGGGGUCAUAGCUG
rnacentral:rRNA from 1 species